rnacentral:rRNA from 1 species
AAAUAAUAUGGUCAAGUAAAAAAGGGCGUACAGUGGAUGCCUUGGCAGAUGAAGUCUAUGAAGGACGUGGUAAGCUGCGAUAAGCGUCGGAGAGGUGCAAACAACCUUUGACCCGGCGAUUUCCGAAUAGGGAAACCUUUCCUAUAGUAAUGUAGGAAAUCCUUAACUGAAAUUUAAAAUAGGUUAAGGAAGACAACCCGGUGAAGUGAAACAUCUCAGUAACCGGAGGAAUAGAAAACAAUAGUGAUUCCGAAAGUAGUGGCGAGCGAAAUCGGAACAGCCCAAACCAUCAUGCUUGCAUGAUGGGGUUGUAGGACCGCGUGAGUAAAGUCAAAAAUUCUAAUUUUAGGUGAACUGUUCUGGAAAGACAGACCAAAGAAGGUGAUAGUCCUGUAGGUGAAAAAAUUAGAACUUGAAGCGGUAUCCUGAGUAAUGCGGGACACGAGGAAUCCCGUAUGAAUCUGGGUCGACCACGACCCAAGGCUAAAUACUCUCAUCUGACCGAUAGUGAACUAGUACCGCGAGGGAAAGGCGAAAAGAACCCCUGACGGGGAGUGAAAAGAACCUGAAACUGUAUGCUUACAAGCUACCAGAGUGCUAUGCCGAUUACGAAAAUUUCGACUUGUCGGAAUUGUUAGUGUCGGAACGCAUUAUGGUGUGCCUGUUGAAGAAUGAACCUGCGAGUUAUUGGAUCGAGCAAGAUUAAUUCUGAUGUUAACGCUUCAGAAGGAGUCGGAGCGAAAGCGAGUCUGAAUAGGGCGAUUAGUUCGAUUUAAUAGACCCGAAGCCAAGUGAUCUAACCCUGGACAGAGUGAAGUUUCGGUAAAACGAAAUGGAGGCUCGAACUGUUGAGUGUUGAAAAACUCCUAGAUGAGCUGGGGUUAGGGGUGAAAGGCUAAUCUAACUUGGUUAUUGCUGGUUCUCCCCGAAAUAGCUUUAGGGCUAGCCUGUUGUGUUCAAUAUAGGUGGUAGAGCACUGGAUAGAGUAGGUGCCUUAACCAGGUUACCAAAUUUAACCAAACUCCGAAUGCCUAUAUUCUAUAACAAUGGAGUCAGUUCGUGAGGGAUAAGCUUCACGUGCAAAAGGGGAACAGCCCAGACCGUCGGUUAAGGUCCCAAAAUUUAUGCUAAGUGGCAAAGGAUGUAGAGUUACUUAAACAGCCAGGAUGUUGGCUUAGAAGCAGCCACCAUUUAAAGAAAGCGUAACAGCUCACUGGUCGAGUGAUUCUGCGCCGAAGAUUUCCGGGGCUAAAGCAUAAUACCGAAACCACGGCUGUAUUUUCGACUUCGGUUGAAAAUACGGGGUAGGGGAGCGUUCUGUAUUAGAGUGAAGGCAUACCGAAAGGAGUGCUGGACGAAACAGAAGUGAGGAUGCAGGUAUAAGUAGCGAGAAGGCAGGUGAGAAUCCUGUCCGCCGAAAAUCUAAGGUUUCCUUGAGCAACGUUCGUCGACUCAGGGUUAGUCGGCCCUAAGCCGAGUCCCUUGUUAAUGGGGGGUAGGCGAAGGACAUCCGGUUAAUAUUCCGGAACCAUAUUUGUAACGUUAUUAGUUUUAAGUGACGCAGGAGGGUAGACUUGGUCCGCGAUUGAAUGUGCGGAUUUGUCCCGACGGAAGUUAGGAUGACCAGUUCCGAGCAAUCGGAAUGAAGCUGUCAAACCACACUGCCAAGAAAAUCCUUAAGGCGAGUUGCAAGUAUGUCCGUACCGCAAACCGACACAGGUAGAUGGGUAGAAAAUACUAAGGCGCGCGAAUGAUCUAUCGUUUAGGAACUCGGCAAAAUAGCCUCGUAACUUCGGAAGAAGAGGUGCCUGAGUAGUACUUAUGGAAAGUAAAUUAGAUAAGGUUGGAGAAGGGGUUAUACCCUUCACUUCCGGAUUCUGUUUAUCGGAAAUAUGGAACGAAAAGGUUACAAUAAAGUGGCCCCUGCGACUGUUUAACAAAAACACAGGACUCUGCUUAAAUCGAAAGAUGAUGUAUAGGGUCUGACGCCUGCCCGGUGCUGGAAGGUUAAUGAGAGAGGUCAUUGAGGAUUUAUCCUCGAGAAGCUUUGAACUGAAGCCCCAGUAAACGGCGGCCGUAACUAUAACGGUCCUAAGGUAGCGAAAUUCCUUGUCGGGUAAGUUCCGACCUGCACGAAUGGCGUAACGAUGGGGGCGCUGUCUCAACGAUAGGUUCGGCGAAAUUGUGCUGUCAGUGAAGACGCUGACUGCCCGCAACUAGACGGAAAGACCCCGUGGAGCUUUACUGCAAUUUAAUCUUGGAUUAUGGGAUUGUCUGCGUAGAAUAGGUGGGACCCUUUGAAGUUUCGCUUUUGGGCGGAAUGGAGGGAACAGUGAAAUACCACCCUGAUACUUCUGUGGUUCUAAUCUCAUGCCAUGAAACUGGCUGGGAAACAGGGUUUGAUGGGCAGUUUAACUGGGGCGGUUUUCUCCUAAAUUGUAACGGAGAAGUUCAAAGGUCACCUCAGCGCGAAUAGAAAUCGCGCAUUGAAUGCAAGGGUAUAUGGUGGCUUGACUGCAAGACAGACAAGUCGAGCAGGUGCGAAAGCAGGACCUAGUGAUCCGGUGCCGGUUUGUGGAAAUGGCAUCGCUCAACGGAUAAAAGCUACCCCGGGGAUAACAGGCUUAUUUGGUCCAAGAGUCCAUAUCGACGACCAAGUUUGGCACCUCGAUGUCGGAUCAUCCUAUCCUGGGGCUGGAGUAGGUCCCAAGGGUUUGGCUGUUCGCCAAUUAAAAGGGUACGUGAUCUGGGUUCAGUACGUCGUGAGACAGUACGGUCCCUAUCUGUUGCGGGUGAAGGAAAUUUGAGGGGAGCUGAUCAUAGUACGAGAGGACCUGAUUGGACGAACCUCUGGCGUACCAGUUGUUCCGUCAGGAGCAGCGCUGGGUAACCAAGUUCGGACGGGAUAAAUGCUGAAAGCAUAUAAGCAUGAAACCCACCCCAAAACAAUAUUUCCCAAAUAUUAGCUGCAAGGUUAAUAUUAAGAAGGCCACUUGUAGAUUACAAGUUUGAUAGGCAGGAGGUGUAAGUCCUGAGAGGGAUUGAGCUGACCUGUACUAAUCGGCCGUUUGACUUGACCGUAU